rnacentral:misc_RNA from 1 species
UGGGUCAUAUGAAAGAAUACAUUAAUGGAUUCAACACUACAUUUAACUCAAUCUUAAAAUGAUGAGUCUGCAGAUAUUUCCUACGCAUACGCAUAUGUUUCUUACUUGUUUAUCUUUUUCUAAUGUAGAAAUUCUACACUUACACAUUUCCAAGAGUUUUAAAUUUGAACUAAUUAAUUUGAAAGCUCAAUCUAUAUGUAUAUACACAUACAAAGUUAUUAAUAAGGUUCUUUGAAGUAGAUGACAUAAAUGAUACAACCAAUUGCAAAAAGUAUAAUAAAGAUAUCAAUAGUGAUGGCUGAGACUGCUUGAUCACUAAGCUCCAUGUUUCUUCCUCCAAGGCGAUCAACCAUGUCUGGAACAGAUCGAUAGUUGUCCAAGUCUUGCUGAUAAGGGUCUUCCAAUUUCAUUCUCAGUUUCUCUGCUUGACGGCUUGCAGCUUCCUGAGCAAGUGUCCAAUCAUAGAACUUGCGCUUCUCCUCAUUGCUUAAUACAUCGUAAACUAGUCUCAAUUUCAUGAACUUUUCUGAAGCAGACUUUAGUGGAAGUGAAGUUGUGUCUGGAUGGUACUCUUUUGAUAGCCUCCUGUAAGCUGCUUUAAUCUCUUCCAAAUCUGCAUCAGCUGAUACACCUAAGAACCUGUUCAAUUUUAGUUAGUUCCAGAGUUACUGGACUAGUCAAUUAUCUCUGAACUUACCCAUACCUUGUCAAGAAAUUUCUAAACUACUAAACAAUGUUUGAUUCAUCUUGGAAAUUAUGAAUUAUCAAAUUAUACUCUAAUAUUGAAAUUAUAAUAUAUUUAAUUGAAUUUCAUUGCGUCUUGUACUUCUAAUGGAUGAAUUUGAUGAUCAUGAAGAUAGCAAAUUAAAAAAAUUAAAAGAAAGCAAAUAUGGCAGAGGCGAAAAGUAGAGACUCACUGGUAAUGAGAACCAGAAGCAUCUUUAAGCAAUUCAGCGAAAUUGUCACCCAAGAGAUUCUUCUGCUCUUCUUCUGCAUUCAAGCGUUGCUGCGAAGUGCUGCUGCUUCCUCCAAUCCAUCCUUCAUCUGGGUUUUCCCAAUGGAUUCUUGUAUCUACUCCUGGGGGUGCUCUUUGGCGCUUUUGAGGUCCUUUUGAUGCGGCCGAAGCACGAAACUGAUUCUUGUGUUUUCUUCUCGUUGUGGCUCUUCUUAUCAGUAGUUGAUGCUGGUCUUUAUGGGAUUGGCAGGCGUUUUGGGUCCUGAGUAAGAGAGAAUAUACAGCUUGCGGGGCAGUGGUGGAUGCCAUUAGAGAUAUAGAGAAGCUUGAAUGGCAUGGUUGCUUUACAAGAUGAACGGGGUAAGUUUCGUAGCCUCAUGUUUCUGUGGCUCUGGGUGUUGAUUAGUUCCCAUUUUGGCUUUUUCUUUGUUCACUGCCAAAUUGCCAAUAACAUGGUGCUAA